UCAAUUUGGUUAAGGUUUUGGGUAUAAAGCGUAUCUAGGAUAGACAGGGAGCAAAAUACUUGAAAAAUUUUGAAAAAUUACGUCUAGUAAAAAUUACAGGAAUACUUGACAACGUAGCUGAGAGCCCUUUAUUCAUCGAACAUAUCCUUACUGGUUACGAGACGUGGGUUUAUGGAUAUACAACCAAACUGUUCAACAACCUAACGCUCCCAAAAUGGCUCAGGCACCCACUUGGAAGGCUAUGAUUAACAUAACUCAUCAAUCGUUAAGAUUUUUUUUUUAAUAUGUGAAAAUAUUUUGUUUUCGGCUUGGGUCAAAUUUGAUCAGUUGGUAAUUUGACACACAAACAGCUCUCAUUUACCGAAUAUUUUGACUUCUAACGGCAGCGUAUCUAAUAUUCGCGACUGUGCGGCUAUUUCCAAACUUAGCGCUGCCUUACUUAUUUUUGAAUUUUCUUCUUCUUUAUUGGCGUAGAAAUUUACUUUUCUGAAUACACAACGUGUGUUUUCAACCAAAUUGCCACCUCUUGUGCGGUGGAGUGUGAAACGGCGGCGAUAGUAGAAACGUGGAAGGUAGACAAAAGGUGUAAACAAAAUUUUAGCGCGUGUCGGCAAGGUAUUGUUGCUUUUGUUUUUGUAGAAUUUCAUUAUGCUUUGCUGCGCUGUUAUUCGAAUUUGUUGUUAAAUGUUGUUGGAAUACAAAUCAGCAGAAAAUGACGGGAAAUCUUAAUUGUAAUAAAUAAAUAAUAACCAGUGUAUAUAAAAAUGGAUUUCGAAGCGCAAUUCUGCAAUAACAACUACACAAAAGUGCACACAUAAACAUAUGUUUAUAAAUACAGACACCUAAAAGCGCAUGCAAGCAAAAACAAUGCCACACACAAACAAAUGGUUAAUAUGCAAAUUAUGAAAGAAAAUGGAAAAGGAAAACGAAAUUGAAAUUGGAUUUCGCAAUACUUUGGAGAAUGUUAUGAAAUACGAUUUGAAAGCGACUUCGCAGAAUGCGCGCUGUGUGGGUGAGGGGUGUUUACUGGGCAGACGCUUGUGGGGAUAAAUUUUUGAUUAUACAUGCUUUUCUGUAUAUUUGUCUGCAUGUAUGUGCAUUACAUAUAAGCAUGCAUUCCAUAUUUAUAUUCAUAACUAUUUCCAUAAUGUUUUCAAAUAUUAAUUUAUUUAUCUAAAAUUUUCUCUGUAAGUUUAUUCAAUAAAGCGAGUGAAAUUUUAUUGCUGCCCACUAAAUGAAGUGCGCAAAUUUUGCACGCUAUGAGCCCCAAUGCAUGCUGCCGCCAACAUGCAAGCAAAAUUAAAUGUCAGCCAGCAAUUCAUAUUAAUAUACAAUUAAUUAUUGGAAUGCAGUAUAAACAAAUGAUGAAUAGAAAAAGUUAUCUUCGUCUGGGUAUAUUUCAUACAGAAUGAGGGGGCAUAAAAUGAUCACUCUAACGUUGUGAUGUGAUGUAGCUUACCAGUCGCGAGGUGAUUUCGCGGGAAGCUGGCUGCCAGCUGGCGCUAUAAAAGAAAGGCAGGCACAGUGCCUGGCCAGUGCGUAGGCGACUUUCGCGCCGCGAUGUCAUGUAGUUUACCAGUCGCGAGGUCAUGUAGAUUAACAGUCACGAGGUGAUUUCGCGGGAAGCUAGCGCUAUAAAAGAAACGCAGGCACAGUGCCUGGCCAGUGCGUAGGAGACAUUCGCGCCGCGAUGUCAUGUAGUUUAACAGCCGUGAGGUCAUGUUGAUUAACAGUCACGAGGUGAUUUCGCGGGAAGCUGGCUGCCAGCUGGCGCUAUAAAAGAAACGCAGGCACAGUGCCUGGCCAUUGCUUCAGCGACUUUCGCGCCGCGAUGUUAUGUAGUUUAACAGCCGCGAGGUCAUGUAGAUUAACAGUCACGAGGUGAUUUCGCGGGAAGCUAGCGCUAUAAAAGAAACGCAGGCACAGUGCCUGGCCAGUGCGUAGGAGACAUUCGCGCCGCGAUGUCAUGUAGUUUAACAGCCGUGAGGUCAUGUUGAUUAACAGUCACGAGGUGAUUUCGCGGGAAGCUGGCUGCCAGCUGGCGCUAUAAAAGAAACGCAGGCACAGUGCCUGGCCAUUGCUUAAGCGACUUUCCCGCCGUGAUGUUAUGUAGUUUAACAGCCGCGAGGUCAUGUAGAUUAACAGUCACGAGGUGAUUUCGCGGGAAGCUGGCUGCCAGCUGGCGCUAUAAAAGAAACACAGGCACCGUGCCUGGCCAAUGCUUAGGUGACUGUCGCGCCGCGAUGUCAUGUGGUUUAACAGUCACGAGGUGAUUUCGCGGAAAGAAAAGACGUUUGCAAAAUUUCAGUUUGAUGUCUUUAUUACUAACCGACCUAAUAUAUACAAAUAUAUGUAUACAUAUGUAUGUGUAGGGUAUACAAAUGAAAUAAAUACAUAACUUUUCACUUAAUUUAAGGGUGAAACAUCGGCACUGAGUUAAUUAAAAUUGGCGCUUAUUUCAGGUCAUAGUCGGCUUGUCGCAGAGCAAAAAAUAGAAAAAAUCAUUUAUAUGUUUAUAGAAGUUUUCCCAUAGCAGCGCUUAAUCAACACGCUGAUAGGUUUUUAUGCCAUUUAUUUAUAGGUUGCAUGUUUAACUGAAUGCGAUCGUUAGCUUUAACCGCUUUAAGCCUGUACAUACAUACAUACAUACGUAUAUACAUAAGUAUGUUCAUGUGUAUUGACUCGUAUGUGCUUUCGCAAGUGCCGCUAACAAUACUCGAGCCUUAUUUGAAUGCCUUUCGCCAUUGACACAUUAGCAGUGAAUUUGCUGAUUCGAUGGAAUUUAUUUAUUUUGCUUUUUUGCAGCCAUUUACCUUGACUUUGUAAUGUACAGUUAUUCAUAUUGAUUUCCUACAUUGAACUUUCGUGUCAUCGUUUAAUUGUUGAAGCACUAAAUGAAAGGGAAUUUCUAGGAAAUAUUUAUUCGGGCAAAGACAAUGAGCAACGUUAGGGGAAAACUAGUAAAAGGGUCCAGCUGUAUACAUAUAUACAGCGCUCUAUGUAAUAAUUAUUAUUGUAGCGGUAGAAAACAUUCCAAAAGGAAUUUCGAGCUAUAGUGCCGUGUUAACAGUUCUUGACCGGAUAAAAAUCCGGAUACGUUCCGUUUACUUAAUGCCGACUGCCGUGGGAACGGGAUUCAAUGCGAGGGGAAUGCUUUAAGGGGGUCCGUCUAUCCAACUAACAUAGAAUAUGCGACUGAUUGGCACUAUAAAUUAAGAAAAGUCUACAAAAAAUAUUUUAAAAUUUUUAUAGCUGUUUCGGAUAGUGUCUGCUAGACCCUUAGCAAAUAUCGUAUUGUUUCGCCGAUUCAAUCCAAAGGUUUAAUUGUCAAAAUGUUUCGAUAAAA